rnacentral:lncRNA from 13 species
AUGGAUAAAGGCAUCAAGGCCAGGGUCGUGGGUUUGAUUCACUUCACCCAGAAAGAUGCCUCUUCAGUCAGUCAUACGUUUAUGAGAUGUCAUUGGUCCCAGAUUUCACUCUUGUUUCAAGAGGAGAUUCACCUGCAGUCCCUCUUUCCCUCCUCUUCCUCACCCCCCUCCCCUACCUCCUUCCCCUCCCUUUCUGCCUCCCUCCCCUCCUUCCCUCCCUCCCCUCCCUCUCUGCCUCCUACCCCUCCCUUUCUGCCUCCCCUCCCCUCCCUACCUCCUUCCCCUCCCUCUCUGUCUCCUUCCCUUCUCUCCCUACCUCCCUUCCUCUCUGCCUUCCAACCUCCCUACCUGCAGCUAGUGUUUAUAAUCAGGUGUGGGUGUGUGGGGUGGUAUCCAGAUGUUCCUGCUCUCAUACCCGCUGCGCCACUCGGGAGGCCAAGGAGUCAUAGGUCGUAACCGCCCCCCCUAUCAGCCAUGAGCAGCAAACCCCAGCCCCCUCUGAUGAAGAAACACAGCCAGACAGAUCUGGUGAGCCGGCUGAAGACCAGGAAGAUACUGGGCGUCGGAGGAGAGGACGAUGACGGAGAGAUACACAGGUCGAAGGUCAGUAGUAUGUAGAUUCUACAGGGCCUUCAGAAAGUAUUCACACCCCAUUUUCUUUUCCCACAUUUUGUUGUGUUACAGCCUGAAUUUAAAAUUGAUCAAAUUUAGAUUUUUUUGGGGGGGGCGGGGGGGUCACUGGCCUACACACAAUACCCCAGAAUGUAAAAGUGUUAUUAUGUUUUUAGAAAUAUUUACGAAUUAAUAUAAAAAUGAAAAGCUGAAAUGCCUAAAUAAGUUCAGGAGUAAAAAUGUGCUUAACAAGUCACAUAAUAAGUUACAUGGACUCACUAUGUAAUAAUAGUGUUUUUAACAUGACUUCCUCAUCUCUGUACCCGACACACAGUUAUCUGGUCUCUGUCGAGCAUUUCAAACACUGUUUCAACCACAAAGACCAGGGAGGUUUUCCAAUGCCUCGUAAAGAAUGGCACCUAUUGGGAGAUGGAUUUGUUUUUUAAAGCAGACAUUGAAUAUCCCGUUGAGCAUGGUGAAGUUAUUAAUAACACUUUAGAUGGUGUAUCAAUACACCCCAGUCACUACAGAGAUACAGAUGUCCUUCCUAACUCAGUGUAUCAAUACACCCCAGUCACUACAGAGAUACAGACGUCCUUCCUAACUCAGUGUAUCAAUACACCCCAGUCACUACAGAGAUACAGACGUCCUUCCUAACUCAGUGUAUCAAUACACCCCAGUCACUACAGAGAUACAGACGUCCUUCCUAACUCAGUGUAUCAAUACACCCCAGUCACUACAGAGAUACAGACGUCCUUCCUAACUCAGUGUAUCAAUACACCCCAGUCACUACAGAGNNNNNNNNNNGAAAGAGCACCAGUAAGCCAGUGACUCAGCCCCUGUAAUAGGGUUAGAGGCAGAGAAUCCCAGUUGAGAGAGGGGAACCGGCCAGGCAGAGACAGCAAGGGUGGUUCGUUGCUCCAGAGCCUUUCCGUUCACCUUCUCACUCCUGGGCCAGACUACACUCAAUCAUAUGACCCACUGAAGAGAUGAGUCUUCAGUAGACUUAAAGGUUGAGACCGAGUUUGCAUCUCUCACAUGGGUAUGCAGACCAUUCCAUAAAAAU